rnacentral:lncRNA from 1 species
AAUUACUAAAGAAUUAAUUAAUUCCAAAACAAUAUUUCUCGCAAGUACUACUCAUCAUUGUAACAGUAUAUGGGUGGCUGGUGAAUCUAGACCAGCAUCUACUGAAAUUAUUUUUCUAUGCCAUGUCCUACACAAAGUCAAGUGAAAAAAAAAAAAAAUCAGUCCAAACCGAAUUCUCAAUUUCUCCUACAAAAGGCACCUGGUUUGGGCAGCAAUGACUUAUUUGAACACAUGACAUAGAAAAAAGCCCUACCCUGGGUAUUUUUCUAUCAAAUAUCUUCUAAUAUUAUCUCCUAAGCUUCAGAGAUGGGAAAAAAAAGAACAGCUUUAUAAAUCUCUUGUUAUAACCAAAAUCACACACAAAAAGAUGAGAACCCUUCAAUGUCACUAAUUUCUCUGAAGCAAUAUAACGGCAAACUCCUGAGACCCUGGCUAUUUCAGACAAAAUAGAAAAAUGUAGAUUCUGGAGGAAGCUGGGGACUGGGCCUUUCUGCAACAGAUUGUAAGCCAAGUCAUAAAUUGAGGUAAAGCAGGAAAUAAAGGGAAGAAAAAGGCAUGGAAGCUGUGGGUUUGUGCCUACCCACUGGGGGUCUGUAAAAUCACUGGGCUGAGGGUUCUCCUGUCCGUUCUGGAUACACGUUCACAUGGCUGAAGCCAUGAGAACAUUCUACCAAGAAGCUAUGGCAAGAAGGGGGGGUUCCCUUAAGGAGGAGAGUUGAAAAGACUAAACCAAAAAAAAAAAAAAAAAAAAAAAAAAAAGGCAAAGAAAAUCCACUGUUUUAAGAAGAGACAGUCUCACCAUGGUGAUACAGGCGAUGCUCGGGGGACGGGGCUGGCGGGGGGAGUGGAACAGUCCUUAUUAUAAAUUCAUUGGCUAGAUAAUGUCUUAGCCCCUGAAUGUCAACUACUUGCCCCUUUAGACUCUGUUAGUGGCCACAUCUACAUCCCUCCCUGGCUUUGCCUUCCACUGUCCCUUGCCUGGACUGUUCCCAGACCCCCUCUGCUGCCAGUCCAGCAAAGCCAUCCUUCUGACUGAGGCUGCAGGGGGCCUAAUGGCACUUGGACCCCUUAUGACAUGUAGGGAAGCAAAAUAUCCAUAAACGUCUCCAGGGCUUUCCACUGCCAUGACGAGAAAAUCCAGAGUCUUGUUGGGGUCCCCAAGGCACAAGGGGACUUCGCCUUGAAUUCACUUCCAGCCUCAGCUUUGUCAGCUCUGUCCCUCUCCUAUGCCAGGCUCCAGCUAGAGAACCACCUGUCCUUUCCCCCAGGAGAAUGUGACCUUGAGCAGCAAAGGCUUUGUUGGAGGGGAGAGUGACAGCACGGGGGACCUGCAGAGUAGUAACCAGAUACCCACCACGUAGUCACGGUUGUAGAGGGCCACUAGGGGGACAACGCAGGAUGGAGGGGUAUCCACUACACACUCAAUGCUAGGGGUCAGGCAGGUCUUUCCAAGGUCAAAGUUAGUUUAGAGAAGGAAUAAAGAACAUUCUAGUCAGAAGGAUGGGCAUAUAGAAGGACCGCCGAGGCAGAUCUGGGGUUGGGGAGCAAGACGCUGGUCAGCUCAAUGACUCAAAGGCCUGGAGUCAGGAGGGUCUCUGGUAAGCCACCUUGACCAGCCGGGGUACAAGUGGGUGGCUCCAGAAUUAGUGUAAGUGCCACCUAGGGUGACAGGCUAAAGCCGAGGAGAUCGGCUGGGGACUAGGGAGAAGCAGAGGGCACAUGCCCACCCAGAGAGAAGUGGCCACUGCUCAAAUGCAGCCGCUGGUACCGCCUGGCUUUGAUGAUGCCAGGGCUGCUUUGCCAAGAGCAACAGGAAAUCCAAAUCGUGAUGUGAGGUCUCCCAAAGUUUAAAAGGCUGGCAACAAAUUGAUGUCAUGGAGAAAACAAAACCCCACCAGGCUCAACAUAAGACAUCUGCCAGCCACCAACGUGUGACCUCUGGGACAGGAACUGGAAAUGAGCACAGGGAGUGUCCAAGAGCUGGAAGAUGUGCUUGUUUCUUAGCCGGGGUCUUGGAAAGCAAGAGCGUUGAAAAGAAAGUGGAUCCCAUGGGGGUAGGGGUGGAGGUGGGAGGCGGGAGCAGGCUGGGGCCUCAGCAGCUUGGGGGUGAGAGCAAGCGUCUCUGGAGGCUUGGCAGGAGGCUGGGUCCCCAGAAUCACAGCCCCCCGCCCCAUCCAUUAGUCCAUUCCAUCAGCAAAUGUUCACUGAGGACCUACUAAAUGCCAGGCACUGUUCCAGACUCUGUAAAAGCAAAAUAGACAAAAUCCCUGCCCUGGAGGAAGGCACGCCCAUGUCCUCUUUCUGGGGAAAUAGAAAAACAGGGCAGUGUUCAGGGGACUUGAACCAAGUCUCCAAUCCAUACCGGUUCACCAUUCUGAGCUUUGAGCUCACUCCCUUUAUCUGAAAAUCAGGCAGGACCAAGGGCCCAGGCGUCAAAGAGACCCCAGAGGCCACAGGUGCCAGCAGCCCAGGACUGAAGGGCAAAGGGCCUCGCACCCCUUGUUCCCAUGCAGAACCCCAACAUGCCGAAUAGUGCCCACACCCAGCCAGUGCUCAGCAUUUGCCAAUAUAAGUUUGACCAUUCUGAAGCUAAGAAAUAUUACCGAGAUACCGGGGGAAAAAAAAAAAAAAUCACUCAAGUUGGAAUUGGCUUUUGCAUAUCAAAAGCCUUCCUCUUGUGCUUCCAGAUCUCUAUGUGAUGGCGCCCAGGGAGAACAGGAUCUCAGGAACCAAAGAAAAACAGCUCUGAAAACAAUUUGGACAGACAAAGACAAAUACUGUAUGAUUUCACUGAAUCUAAAAAAUAAAUACAACAAACUAUUGAGUAUAACAAAAAAGGAGAUGCUACAGAGAGAACAAACAAGUGGCGACCAGUGGGGAAAGGGAAGGAGAGGGGGAGGGCGGGGAGGUAAGGGACUGAGAGGCACAAAGUGCUAGGUAUAAAACAAGCUGCAAGGAUACACUGCACAACACGGAGGAGAGAGCCAACAUUUGUUAACAGCUGUACAUGGAGUAUAACCUUUAAAAACAGUGAAUCUACAGUACAUCUGUAACUUAAAUACUAUCGUACGGCCACUCUUCUUCAAUAAAAAAGAAAAAAAUAGGAGUUCUCUUGCAGCCUCAGGCUAAGGAUCCCACAUUGUCACCGCAGCAGCGUGGCUCAAGUUUGACCUCCAACCCAGGAAGCUCCACAUGCUGCAGGUGCAGCUGAUAAAUAGACAGACAGAGCGAUAAAAUAAAGUCACAUGGGCCAACCAACCAGCUUGAACAAAACAAUACAAGAGGUACACAACUUUUUUUUUUUCUUUUACAAAAAAAGAAUAAUCAUUUGGCUGUCAUUCUAUCGACAAGACUAGGCAGGUAAUCAAAAAUGGAUGGAAACAAAACCUAAUACCCCACUUCAAAAAAGGAGAAAAGCGGGUCCAGGGGGUUCUCCCCUUUGCCCGCCUGCCCCUCACUCACGGCAGUCCCCUUCCUCUUUUAAUUUCACUGUCACAGUUUCAGACUUUGUUUCUGAUCCCAGGGAAAACAAACAAACAAAACAUGCUGCCCUACAAAAUCCUACGUACACAUGCUGAGUUCACUUCUUCCCUAAAUGUGGACCCAGGCUCGUGGGGGACGAGGGUGACCCAGCACGUGCCCUUCUGGGCAUCACGUCAACUGCUUUCAGGUAGCCUUUCGCUGGUAGGUCCUUCCUAACUGUGUCCUCAGGCCAGCACAGUUCACAGGGGGCCCAAGAUCAAUGAAUCACUGCGGACGUGGGACCAGGCUCCUGCAUCAGAGGAAUUUCCCGACCGCUCCUGUGCUCUGACCCCACAGUAACUCCGCUCUCCCCACGCCUCCUGGCCAGCUCCCCUCUGCCUCACCUGACCCAGAGCCUGCCAGGCAGCCAUAUGUUGCUGGGGCCAGCCGCCUCCAUUUCUCCUUUUGUUUUGUUUUUUCUUUCUUUCUUUUUAAAGGAGGAGGGAAGUACCUUGUUUAUUUCCAAACUCCCUUGCAUCUGAUGUGCGCUAGGCUGGCAUUUGCUGUUAAAGCAGAAAAUUAUAAGGAGGGCCUAAUUGACCCUCCUGUGUCUUUGAAAAAGCCUGUCUGUGGUCUCUAAUUGACCCUCUAGGUACCGAUGGAACAAUGAAUGAAUCUUCAGGAAAUAAUGGAGGGCGAUGAUUAAUAGCCCGGGUCUGGCUGGACCUCUGUCUCCCCCAGCUCUUCCCCCGCACCUGCCUUCCUCCCGUCGUGACACUUGAGUCCCCGCAUUUCCUAAGCAGCGAUUUAUUAUUAUCGCUGAAUAAUAAAUACCCUGCAGUCGACACGUGAAACAAUCGGACACAUCACGAUUCUGCAGAGAUGGGGAUGACAUUUACUUAAGCUGGUGUCCUCAUUUUUCUCUUUGGCAACGCUCGCAAGGGUCUUCCUCUGGUAAUUGCGGGCAAACUCAAAGCAGAAAGGCGGCUUCUCUCAAGUUUCUAGUAAAAUGACUGCAGACGGGAAGCCCUCGGGAAUUGAGGGUUUCUUCCCUGUUCCCUAGAGCAGCGAGUCCCCUUCCGGUUCAGGUGAGGAUAAGGCCUUUCGAGAACACAGUGAACGAUAAAAGUAAUGGUAACAAGUGACCCCCCCUCCCCGCAGUGUAAAGCAGGUAGCUGCCCCCCUUACACAUUAACCCAAGGUCAGACCGAGAUGAACUCAACGCUAUCAUCCCCAUUAUUCAGAUGAAUAAGCUGAGGUGCAGCGAGUAACUGGCCCAGAGUCACAGGUCCCCAGUUCUGCCGGUCUCAAAAUAUUCAACAAUAACUGUGCAAACAUACAAUCUUAAAGGGAAAACAUUUUUAAAACUGGGUAAGAACAUAAAAGGAAGUGCCUUUGCUUUAUUUUAGGUUGGCUCAAAAACGAACCUUUCCUCUAGACAUGGCAAGAGAGAAUGCUUAAAUUCUAAAACAUGCAUGUCUUGGAGGUCCUGCUGUGACGCAACAACAUCAGUGGCAUCUGUGGAGCUCUGGGGCGCAGGUUCAAUCCCUGGCCCAGCGCAGUGGGUUAAGCAUCCAGCAUUGCCAUAGCUGUGGUACAGCUCGUAACUCUGACUCAGAUCUACCCCUGGCCCAGGAAAUCCAUAGGCGAAGGGAGGCCAAAAACCAAAAAACAAAAUAAAACAUGCACGUCUCUAGGGGAUGAUAAGAGGCCAGAAGGACUUUUUCCCCUUUUUCCAAAUUCAUAGCAUCAACUAAACUUUUAAUUGAAAAUGAUUACGAGGGAAGGAAAGGAAAGGAAGGAAAAAAGCCAUCAAAAAUCUCCUUGGCUCCUGGUACUGCUCCACCUUCCUCAGACCUUAAAUGGCGAGAGAGCCUCAAGCUGUCAGCCAGGCUCCUGGGUGUCGCUCUUCCUGCUGUCAGGCUCUGCAGGAGAGCAGGCCGCUGGGCUGCCUGUGCAGCAACACGGAUGCUUGGCGCAGGAGCACAAUUUCUGUGAAAGACAGGGAUCCUCUCCCACAAGCAGACUCACCCCACGGUCAGAAAGCACUGGGCCACCGUCCAGAGUCACGGGCUGGGAGGGCUGUGGGCUUCUGAGAGCCAUCGAACCUGAGACCUCUGCGAGCGACUCCAGUACAGAGGAGAGAAGUGAAUACUCCAGUCCGCGUGCCCUGAGCGGAGGGCGCCUUAGGUCACCUCUAAGGUCCCGUUCAAGGUCAUGAUUUUACAUCUUUUGGGUUUUAGGAGAUUUUUUUUUUUUUUCUUUUUGGCCCCACCCAAGGCGUGCAGAAGUUGCUGGGGCAAAGGACUGAACCUGAGCCACAGCAGUGACAAUGCCAGAUCCUGAACAGCUAGGCCAGCUGGAACUCCAAGGUCAUGAUUUUAAAAUCAAACAAGAUCCUCCUGGAGAUUUUUGGCCCAAAGACAGACCCCUCCUAAGGGCAGACCCCCUCCCUGUCUCCCCUUUCCAGAGGAAAGGAAACAACUCAUCCCAGAAACACCCAUUCCAAGGGCAAACCAGCCCCUACAGAGCCCUCACCCCCCCCCACUCCCUCCACUGGGCUGUCAUACUCCACGCCAUGGUCCACCUGCCCCCAUCACCCCAUGGCCGGACACCAGACACCGGGGCGGCCCCCAAAGCCCAGAGCCUGCUGAAACUAUGCCGGCUGGUUGACCCUAGGCCUUCGUGCCCCACCUCCCAGGCUCCUUCCUCCCACAGGUUCCCCUCUCCCUCUGCCUUCUGACCAACGCUGGCGCCUCGCGUGUGCCCCAUGGCAUGACCUGUGCCCUCUCCCUUGAGAUCUCUUGAGUAACAAAACAUCUUUUCGAUGGCAGUUGUCUCCUGACCUCUGUAUCUACACAAUAAUAAAACCACUAAAACAGGCAGAAGGAAGGAGGGACAGAAAAGCGGACGGAUGGAGGGAGGGAGGGAAGAUGGGAAACAACUGAAGAAGGAACAAAGAAUGAAGAGAGGGGGAUGAACUGAAGCCCUGCCUGUCAUUUUGGAGAGAAACACCUAACAACGCUGUCAGAGAAACCCUUCGCUACUUUGGGGAGAGAGGGGCGCGCUGAAGACACACAGGAUGCAGGGUCCCAAGCGGAAACGCUGACCUCGCAUCCAAUG